UAGGGAAUCUUCGGCAAUGGACGGAAGUCUGACCGAGCAACGCCGCGUGAGUGAAGAAGGUUUUCGGAUCGUAAAGCUCUGUUGUUAGAGAAGAACGUUGGUAGGAGUGGAAAAUCUACCAAGUGACGGUAACUAACCAGAAAGGGACGGCUAACUACGUGCCAGCAGCCGCGGCAAUACGUCGGUCCCGAGCGUUGUCCGGAGUUAUUGGGCGUAAAGCGAGCGCAGGCGGUUCUUUAAGUCUGAAGUUAAAGGCAGUGGCUUAACCAUUGUACGCUUUGGAAACUGGAGGAGUUGAGUGCAGAAGGGGAGAGUGGAAUUCCAUGUGUAGCGGUGAAAUGCGUAGAUAUAUGGAGGAACACCGGUGGCGAAAGCAGCUCUCUGGUCUGUAACUGACGCUGAGGCUCGAAAGCGUGGGGAGCAAACAGG
rnacentral:rRNA from 1 species